UUUUUUUUUAAAAAUUUCUUAAUUACAUUUCUUCCUCAGAUAAGAGAAUAAAUUUUCGUGUGUGUUUAAAAGAUCUUUGUGAAACGGAGAAAGCGAAAUGUUUGCCAUGCAGCCAUUUUUAUCCUAAGGAACGUAUUCUUCAGUGGUUUAGAAUGAAUGGUACUUGUCCCUUGUGCAGAAAAUCUGCGGCAGCCUUCUGAAGCGGGAACUGAAACUGUUAUGAUGUUUCGAACAAGACUUGUAUAUAUAAGAAUUACUUCAGUUAUUGGCCUUAACUUUUCCAUGUUAUGAUGCAGAGAACCACCGCCAGUCCAUUGCAACUUACUUCUACCAAGUCAUCUUAUUACAAUAAAAAUGCAGUCUUAUCACUAUAAUGGAGCAGUUUUACUACAUCUAUAUGAGAAAGGAUGGGGCAGAGGACUGGAAGAGGGUAUGACCUCUCUCACCAAGGAGGAUGUGGUAAUUGGUUUCAGCUGUAGUUCCCUGUUUUGAGCUCCGAUAUCUGCUUGUUUCUUUUGUUAGAAAUGACCACAUCUGCUUCAUAAGGAUUUAUUAGGUUCUCCGAAAAGUUGAAAAAUGCAAAUUUGCAGCUUAGAUCAAAAGUUGUCUUUGAAAUCUAGAGAAACAAAGUAUUUUUCCAUAAUUUUUUUUCAUCGCACAGUCUGCUGACAGAUUUGUCUAACAAAGGCUUUAAGGUAAUUGGCACAGUACAAGAUUCGAGAAUGGAACAAAGUCCUCUUAAAACAGCAAAAGAAAUGUCAAAAUUUCAAAUUGGGUAAUUUGUAUAUGUGCCGUUGAAACUACAGUUCUGUUGUAACUAUUUCAUCAAAUGUUAUCACUCACAAACCAUUAGAAAGAGCAAAAAGAUGUGUCCAAGCUU